AAAAUGACUCUCAGCAACGGAUAUCUUGGCUCUUGCAACGAUGAAGAACGCAGCGAAAUGCGAUACCUAGUGUGAAUUGCAGAAUUCCGCGAAUCAUCGAGUUUUUGAACGCAAGUUGCGCCCGAGGCUCAUACCGAGGGCAUGUCUGUCUGAGCGUCAUU
rnacentral:rRNA from 1 species